rnacentral:rRNA from 1 species
GACGAACGCUGGCGGCGUGCUUAACACAUGCAAGUCGAACGAAGAGCGAUGGAAGCUUGCUUCUAUCAAUCUUAGUGGCGAACGGGUGAGUAACGCGUAAUCAACCUGCCCUUCAGAGGGGGACAACAGUUGGAAACGACUGCUAAUACCGCAUACGAUCUAAUCUCGGCAUCGAGGAUAGAUGAAAGGUGGCCUCUACAUGUAAGCUAGCACUGAAGGAGGGGAUUGCGUCUGGUUAGCUAGUUGGAGGGGUAACGGCCCACCAAGGCGAGGAUCAGUAGCCGGUCUGGGAGGAUGGACGGCCACAUUGGGACUGAGACCAGGCCCAGGCUCCUACGGGAGGCAGCAGUGGGGAAUCUUCCGCCAUGGACGGAAGUCUGACGGCGCAACGCCGCGUGAGUGAUGACGGCCUUCGGGUUGUAAAGCUCUGUUAAUCGGGACGAAAGGCCUUCUUGCGAAUAGUGAGAAGGAUUGACGGUACCGGAAUAGAAAGCCACGGCUAACUACGUG